ensembl:lncRNA
UUUCUCUCUGCCAAGUAGUCCGUGAGGUGAGAACAGGGCUGUUUACUGCACAAAUGCAAAAUCGAGUACAAGAGGAAACAACAGAGGAACAAAAUUCAGACCUGAGUCCUGGUGGAAGUUCCAUGAUAUUAGUUCCACUGAAGCUUUUAUUUGAGACGUUGGCAAUUUUGCUCUUCAGAUCCCUGACACCAGCUGGAAUUUUCAGUUCUACACGGAGGUAUUGUAGAAUCCAUGGUCUUCAGCCAUUCCUUGAACUUCAGAAAAUUCACUCAGGUCUGGAAGAAGGAUAUGUUCCUUGAAGGGUGCCAGAUGGUGAAGACUGUUGAUUUGAAGAAGACUGUGCAGAAAGGAGGCUUCUCUAGCCUGUAGAAGGGGGCAUUUGGAUAUCAAGGUCCCAGCCCUGAUGCUAUCUAUACCUGAGAAGAACAUUCUGGUGGAACCCUGCCUCAAGGGAAGCCUUCCACAGAAAUGGAGCUCGCUGGGGCAGCUCAGGUUGAACACAUAGCACUGCCAGGCAAGGGACUCCUCAGCCACCCUUAUCAAGCUCCAAUGGCCAGCCUGCCUCCUCUAACUGCUACAAAGAGAAUUUUCAGGAAGAAUCCAACCCAUCUCAUAUAGGCCUUGAACAGUAAUGCUCACAAUGUUUGGACACUUCAGAGAACAUAACUUUCAAUGUCUACAGAUACUCUCUUGGGUAUGUGCAAGCUGAGAUUUUUCAUGGAUGUAGAACUAAGCAAAUGACGUGCUUCCCAUAUUUAAUCAUAGAAUCAUAGAAUUGCUCAGGUUGGAAAAGACCUUAAAGAUUGUGCUAUGCAUGAGAUGCAUAUUAAAAACUGUGUUUCUUUAGUUUCAGAGAAGAAACAAGAUUCAGACUGAUAGAUUUUAAGAAAGGUCCUGCCUUGUAUAGGACAUUUGACAAAGCUUGAAGUAAUGAAGCUAGGAACCUGUCCAGUGAUUACAGCUACUGCUGUGGCACAAAGAGAAGAGGGAACAGUUUGUCACAGAGGUUUCUCAUGUAUUGGUGGACUGCAGCAAAAUAAAUGAACAAGAAACUUUCAAUACCUUGCAGUUACCCAUACUGUGGUGUGUACAUUGUACAAUGUAUAUCUUUCUUCAACAGAACAUAGGUCAUAGAAAAUCCUGUCUCUAAUACAAUAUCUAUUCCCUAUGCAAAAUGUUUUGUAAUGAUGGAAGAGUAAGCUGCUGUGUAUAGAGAAAAUAUUGGCUUACCAAUCAACCAUCUGGUGUACAGUGGGAACGGUCUGAGUAGCUUUCUCAGUUGGAACAUUUGGAAAAUGAAUAUACUGUUGC